CGUGCCUUCUCCAAAGUUGCCCCUACCUUGUGGAACAAUCUACCAUUUGAACUCAAAACAGCAAGCUCUCACAAAUCCUUCCAGAACUGUCUAAAAACUUUCCUGUUUAAUCAAGCAUAUGAUAUGUAAAUUAUCUACCCUGUUCAGCACCAUUGAGCAGCUCAAAGUUGGAAAAUAGGCUCUAUACAAAUUAAUUAUUAUUAUUAUUAUUAAACUUGGUUUCUUUGC